UAGAGCAAUCUCCUCUAACUCAGGACAUAC
rnacentral:piRNA from 1 species